UCUUCCAUAAACACUCAGGACUUUGACCGUGUAGCACUUGACUCACAGCAACACUGUUUCCUCACUCCACCGCAGACAUUCGCCAUUUGAAAGGCUGCACAUUGCCGCUCAAACAACGAACACAAGCGAGAAAACAUCUGAGAGGCUUACUCCUGUUCCUUAAAAGCCAUGGCAGUGGGAUCGAUCAUUUCACCUGAACAUGGCAGGCUCACGUCGGUCCAGAGCUGGUGCAGACAUGGUGAAGAGCCACAGAAAUAUCAAAGUAAGAGCAAGAGGAGCUCUAAAGACUGGUACCCUCCAGAUUUGGCCCUUGUGAGGACCAGGAUGCACAUCAGGAAGAUGAUAAAGGAGAGGAAACCUCAAAGGCACGGAGACAUUCUUGACACCUGGCAGGAACUCGAGGACUACUGGCAACACUUGGAAAAAAGUUGACACAAAGUUUGCAAAUGACGAGAAAGAGGUGUUCUGUUCAUUAUUUGACAGGAAGCCCUCAACACUCCCAGUCAUAUGACAUCAAUGAAAAUGUAAAACCUACAAAUACAAAUUGAGUGUGAAUAUAUAAGACUUUGUAAAUAUGUAUAAUAGUUUUUUCUACUACAUAACAUUCAAUAAACGUUGAAGUUUU